UACGAAGGGGGCUAGCGUUGUUCGGAAUCACUGGGCGUAAAGCGCACGUAGGCGGAUCUUUAAGUCAGGGGUGAAAUCCCGAGGCUCAACCUCGGAACUGCCUUUGAUACUGGGGAUCUCGAGUCCGGGAGAGGUGAGUGGAACUGCGAGUGUAGAGGUGAAAUUCGUAGAUAUUCGCAAGAACACCAGUGGCGAAGGCGGCUCACUGGCCCGAUACUGACGCUGAGGCACGAAAGCGUGGGGAGCGAACAGG
rnacentral:rRNA from 1 species